AACGAACGCUGGCGGCAGGCCUAACACAUGCAAGUCGAGCGCGCACACCGGGAUGUUGGGCGGACGGCUGAGUAACGGGUGGGAAGGUUCACUUGUGUACGGCAUAGCUUCGGGAAAGGGAGAAUAAUACCGAACACGCCCUUAGGGGGGAGGAUUUAUUGGAAAAGUAUCGGCACUAGUUGGAUUCGGUUGUUGGUGGGGUAAUGGCCUACCAAGCGGACGAUCCAUAGCUGGUUUGAGAGGAUGAUCAGCCACACUGGGACUAAGACACGGCCGAGACUCCUACGGGAAGGAGCAGUGGGGAAUCUUAGACAAUGGGGGCAACGCUGAUCUAGCCAUGCCGGGUAAGUGAUGAAGGCCGUAGGGUUGUAAAGCUCUUUCAGCUGGGAAGAUAAUGACGGUACCUGCAGAAGAAGCCCCGGCUAACUCCGUG
rnacentral:rRNA from 1 species